CAUACCAAGUAGCUUUAGAUGAGAUGGCAGAGAUAGGAUGCUUUCGACUGUGCAGAAACGUUGUGAACUUAUGUUCCUUCUGUCAAUCACAACCACCAAUAAUCAAACAGAUUCAUCACCAUAACUGUCAACAAAGACCCUUUGAGUCUUCAUUUCAAUGGCGAGUUUGUCCAACCAUUAAGUACCCACAUCGUUUCUCUUCAAAUACCAACAACCAAUUCAGGGUGAACUCUAUCAGAGACAGUAGUGGAGAUCAAACCACUAUGUCUGCUUCAUCUGCCUACCAAGUGCUUGAUGUAUUGCCAGAUUGCAGUUUGUCUGAUCUUAAAGCAGCUUUUCGUGCCAAAGUGAAACAAUUUCAUCCUGAUGUUAGAAAUAGUGAUGAUGAUAGCUCGGAUAUAAUGAUUCGUCGUGUCAUUCAGGCCUAUGAGGUGUUAUCCAAUUUAAGCAAAUCAGAGAUCAUUGAAAGUGAAUGUCUAGACCCCUUUGAUGCUCCUGAAUGUGAGGCACUUGACAUCUUUGUUAAUGAGGUUCUAUGUGUUGGCAAAGGGUGUCCUUAUUCAUGUGUAAAGACAGCACCUCAUGCCUUCACAUUCAGUUCUUCAACAGGAACUGCACAUGCAACAUCUCAAGGUCAUGGUGAGGAUUAUCAGGUACAGCUUGCAGUUGGGCAGUGUCCAAGAAGUUGCAUUCACUAUGUAACACCUUCUCAAAGGGUUAUUCUGGAGGAGCUACUUGGCAGCAUCUUGAAUGUGCCUUUUGAUUGCUCAGCUGAGGCGGAGUUGCUUUACGCACUCAUUGUAAAAGCCAGGUUUGAGAAUAAUCGGUACACGAAGCCGAAGAAGCAACCCAAUGUAUCAACCAAACAUGUAGAUUGGUAUUGAUGGCUAUGAAGAUUUAACUAAUGUGUGUAAAUCUGGUAAAAACAUCAAAGGAGAGAACAAACGUAUACCGGGUAGAGGAAAUCUCUCAAACUCUACUUUUGAAGGGGAUAUAUUAGAUAUGCUCAGUUUGGUUUUAACAGAAUAGAAAGGCUAUAUGCCAACAUUUGUCGUGAUCCUAUGGUACCGAUCUAAUGGCCAUCAUGGGGAAGGAAAAUCGCAGUGUCGUUGAGAUAGGCGAAUGGUAUCGAGCUUCGAACCUGAUGACUCACUUAUGGAUUUUCAUCUUGUUACUUCUGAAACAAUGAAUGGUAACUAUGAUUAUGCAUAUUUGGUUUUCUUGGUUUUGUAUCUCAAUUUUAGUUAUUUAUUACAUCUUUUGAC